GUGUGUGGAUUUUCAGCCACCAGAAUCAUGAGCUAAAAACCCCUCUUCUUUCUAUAUUAUCCGAGAGCAGAUGGAGCCCAAACAUCAGAUGUUUGUUUGUCUUUCAGAGUUCUUAAAAGAAUGUGAUGCUUCAAAAUGCUGAUGGGACAGGCCUGACUCCAGAUGGCCCUGGGAAAAUCUAUGGGGCCAAAAGGACAGAGUACUGCAAGCCACGCCCAGAGAAGUAGCAGGGGAGCCCAGAGGAAGGCUGUCUCCGGAUGUAUUUUCCAUAACUUAGCACUUGUGUUCUGCACCGCUUGGUCUGGGUCGAGAUUGUGCUCUGUGAGAGAGGUCUUCAGAGGCAUAAAGAAAGAGUUCACAGAGCAAAUCUGUCAGCCCUGUGCUUGUGGUCUCCAAGGAAAACUGAAACCACCCUUGAAGUGACCCGUGGCCGAGCCCUACGUGUGAGUCUCUGCAGGCUUUGUCAUAGGUUCAUCAAUUUCACAGAAAAUGAUUAUACUGGACAAGUGAGAAAGCUCACAGGAACUAGCGAACAGAGCAGAAAAACCAAAGUUAGAAGAACCAAAGGUCGACCCAUCAACAGACUUGAGGAAUGAGUGGGCAGAUCCGGCAGGCCAAUGGUGAGAGGCCCUGGACAGCUGGGCACUGGCCAAGAGUCAGAAUCAAUGAAAGGCACAGAGGCAGCUUCAGGCCAGAGCUGAGAGAAGCAGAAGGUGCAAAGGCACUUCGUGUUUAGACAGAAAGCAGAGCAGCCAAUGACUGAAGGAGCUAUUCUUCAUUUUCAAAGGUGAAGACUCACCAUACGUAUGUGGUGGUUGAAAACAAAUUACAGCACCAUGAAAUAUAUGUGCAUUAUGAAAGAUUCAGUAUCUUUGUGCUCAGAAUUGGAGCUGCAGUGUAAUCAUCAUUUCAGUAGAAGAAUUUCCUGCAAUAAUCCCCUGGCCCUGAGCUGC